UGGGGAAUAUUGGGCAAUGGGCGAAAGCCUGACCCAGCAACGCCGCGUGAGGGAAGAAGGCCUUUGGGUUGUAAACCUCUGUCCUUGGUGACGAAAAGAAUGACGGUAGCCAAGGAGGAAGCCCCGGCUAACUACGUGCCAGCAGCCGCGGUAAUACGUAGGGGGCGAGCGUUGUCCGGAAUUACUGGGCGUAAAGGGUGCGUAGGCGGCCGAUUAAGUUGGAUGUGAAAUACCCGGGCUUAACUUGGGGGGUGCAUCCAAUACUGGUUGGCUAGAGUGCAGGAGAGGGAAGCGGAAUUCCUAGUGUAGCGGUGAAAUGCGUAGAUAUUAGGAGGAACACCAGUGGCGAAGGCGGCUUUCUGGACUGUAACUGACGCUGAUGCACGAAAGCGUGGGGAGCAAACAG
rnacentral:rRNA from 1 species